rnacentral:rRNA from 1 species
AACGAACGCUGGCGGCAGGCCUAACACAUGCAAGUCGAACGCCCGUAGCAAUACGGGAGUGGCAGACGGGUGAGUAACGCGUGGGAACGUGCCCUUCGGUUCGGAAUAACUCAGGGAAACUUGAGCUAAUACCGGAUACGUCCGUAAGGAGAAAGAUUUAUCGCCGAAGGAUCGGCCCGCGUCGGAUUAGCUAGUUGGUGAGGUAACGGCCCACCAAGGCGACGAUCCGUAGCUGGUCUGAGAGGAUGAUCAGCCACACUGGGACUGAGACACGGCCCAGACUCCUACGGGAGGCAGCAGUGGGGAAUAUUGGACAAUGGGCGAAAGCCUGAUCCAGCCAUGCCGCGUGAGUGAAGAAGGCCUUAGGGUUGUAAAGCUCUUUCAGCGGGAAGAUAAUGACGGUACCCGCAGAAGAAGCCCCGGCUAACUUCGUGCCAGCCGCCGCCGUAAC